ACAACCUUACUUGAAUAAGAUCUGUUCUAUGGGCUCGUACCUCCGUGUCCCUUAGCACGAGGAGACAGGAUAUCAAGUCUGGCGGAUGAAUUAUGUCCUUGUGAUCAGAGCGUGAUUAACAGCUUCUCUGGUCCUGGUGACCAGUUGAAGCAGUAGAGGAUCGUUGUUGCCUGGUGUUAAUCCACCUGGAAUGGUCACAGGGUUGUCUGACAGACU
rnacentral:snoRNA from 2 species